AUGUCUGUAUUUGCACAACACUGUCUCUGGUGAGAGAGUUUGAGGUUGUCUCUGGUUUCCUUUGAGAGCACUUGAAAGAGGAAAAAAAAACUUUCAUUAAACUGUUGAAAACUGUUCAAGACACCCACAGGGGGAAUCUUUCAAGUUAAACUCUGAUCCAGAUACUGUAUAUAAGAGAGUCCAAAAUUCAGCUCAACACAACAACCUUCUUAUCAAGUCAAGCAGAGAAGAUGCUGAAAUCACUGCAGCCAUGCUGAAGGUAGCACUUAUCCUUGGAUGCCUCCUGAGCCUCAUUGUGGCUGCACCAAUGGAGGACCAGCGAUUUGCUCGCUCUAGAUCGAACUCCAAUGAGGUCUCAACAAACAACUUGGCCACCCUGUUAUCCCUGCUUUUCAGGCUUCUUGCCACCACUACCACAACUACAACAACUACAAGAGCACCUACAACAACAGUUGCUGCUACUACUACAUAAAAUGGAGUCUUGAACAUCAGCAAAUUUGUCAUGUAUUGCUGAGAAAGUUAUCUUCUUUUUCUUUUUCAGUUUUAAAUACUGAUUAUCAGUCAUGCUCAAUAAAGUUUAGCAAAGAA